AGCCUGAUCAGCCAUGCCGCGUGUGUGAAGAAGGCCUUUUGGUUGUAAAGCACUUUAAGCGAGGAGGAGGCUACCUAGAUUAAUACUCUGGGAUAGUGGACGUUACUCGCAGAAUAAGCACCGGCUAACUCUGUGCCAGCAGCCGCGGUAAUACAGAGGGUGCGAGCGUUAAUCGGAUUUACUGGGCGUAAAGCGUGCGUAGGCGGCUUUUUAAGUCGGAUGUGAAAUCCCCGAGCUUAACUUGGGAAUUGCAUUCGAUACUGGGAAGCUAGAGUAUGGGAGAGGAUGGUAGAAUUCCAGGUGUAGCGGUGAAAUGCGUAGAGAUCUGGAGGAAUACCGAUGGCGAAGGCAGCCAUCUGGCCUAAUACUGACGCUGAGGUACGAAAGCAUGGGGAGCAAACAGGAUUAGAUACCCUGGUAGUCCAUGCCGUAAACGAUGUCUACUAGCCGUUGGGGCCUUUGAGGCUUUAGUGGCGCAGCUAACGCGAUAAGUAGACCGCCUGGGGAGUACGGUCGCAAGACUAAAACUCAAAUGAAUUGACGGGGGCCCGCACAAGCGGUGGAGCAUGUGGUUUAAUUCGAUGCAACGCGAAGAACCUUACCUGGCCUUGACAUACUAGAAACUUUCCAGAGAUGGAUUGGUGCCUUCGGGAAUCUAGAUACAGGUGCUGCAUGGCUGUCGUCAGCUCGUGUCGUGAGAUGUUGGGUUAAGUCCCGCAACGAGCGCAACCCUUUUCCUUACUUGCCAGCAUUUCGGAUGGGAACUUUAAGGAUACUGCCAGUGACAAACUGGAGGAAGGCGGGGACGACGUCAAGUCAUCAUGGCCCUUACGGCCAGGGCUACACACGUGCUACAAUGGUCGGUACAAAGGGUUGCUACCUAGCGAUAGGAUGCUAAUCUCAAAAAGCCGAUCGUAGUCCGGAUUGGAGUCUGCCACUCGACUCCAUG
rnacentral:rRNA from 1 species